AUGGACGCUAGCGGCUAGGCUUAACACAUGCAAGUCGAGGGGUAUAGCUACUUCGGAAUUAGAGACCGGCGUCACGGGUGCGUAACGCGUAUGCAAUCUACCUUCACAGAGGGAUAGCCCAGAGAAAUUUGGAUUAAUACCUCAUAGUAUAGCAGUUUCGCAUGAAACCACUAUUAAAGUCACAACGGUGAAAGAUGAGCAUGCGUCCCAUUAGCUAGUUGGUAAGGUAACGGCUUACCAAGGCAACGAUGGGUAGGGGUCCUGAGAGGGAGAUCCCCCCACACUGGUACUGAGACACGGACCAGACUCCUACGGGAGGCAGCAGUGAGGAAUAUUGGACAAUGGGCGCAAGCCUGAUCCAGCCAUGCCGCGUGCAGGAUGACGGUCCUAUGGAUUGUAAACUGCUUUUAUACAGGAAGAAACACUACUUCGUGAAGUAGCUUGACGGUACUGUAAGAAUAAGGAUCGGCUAACUCCGUG
rnacentral:rRNA from 1 species